UACGAAGGGGGCUAGCGUUGCUCGGAAUUACUGGGCGUAAAGGGCGCGUAGGCGGAUAUUUAAGUUAGAGGUGAAAGCCCAGGGCUCAACCCUGGAAUAGCCUUUAAUACUGGAUAUCUUGAGUUCGGGAGAGGUGAGUGGAACUCCGAGUGUAGAGGUGAAAUUCGUAGAUAUCGGGAGGAACACCAGUGGCGAAGGCGGCUCUCUGGACAGGUACUGACGCUGAGACGCGAAAGCGUGGGUAGCAAACAGG
rnacentral:rRNA from 1 species